CAGAUAUAUUUCCAAGGGAAGUUCCCUCUUUUGACAAAUUAACAUUUUGACACAGAUUAUAGUUAGGUACCAUCAAACCCACAUAGCAAAGCAAAUGUCCUCUAAAUACUGUUUAAGAUUUCCCAUAGGAAGAAAAUUUCACUAAACCCUCUGAGAGGUGUGCAUAUUCAAACAUAAAUAAUAGAAGGAAAGUA